AGUGUGAAAUAUUUUUAAUUAUUGUAGUAAAUAUCAUUUAAUUUAACAUGAAAAUAUCAUUAAAGUUAUACAAAAUCUCUUUAUUUUUGUUAUACUUCUAGACUGUAUAGUAACACUUAUAACUACGAGAAAACAGCACUGCCGAUGUAGCAAAGGCAACAUCAGCAUUGUGAUAUGUUGAAGUCAACAAGCAGAGCCAUUGAGGAAGGAACGUGAAGUCGGAGACCACCCAAGCUAAACAUCCGCCUCACUAUUUGCACUUUCUGAGAACCGGAACAUUGCUAGCUUCACACCGUCAAACUGUCACAUCAAUGAAAUAGAUACAACCACCACAUGGAAACACAUGAGUAAACGCCAAAGAAACUUUCUGGCAGCUUCAGAGGCGGACUAAAAAAAUGCCGGAUAAAGACACUGCAGAUGAGAGAGAGAGAUCUGGAACCACAACGACGUGGCCAUAGACUACCAAAUCGGGAUGUAGACCAUUGAACCUGCACAAGCCGACACUAGAAGCUCUAGCACGCACCAGAAAAGCCGCUAGGAGAGACACGUCUCCGAGAAUAGGGUAAUCCAGAGCUCACAUGAUGCCGAGACGAAGGAUAUGGCCAACCAAGAUGUCGAGGAAAGCCACCAAAUUGAAACCUUGACACCGCACCUUCAAAGCAGACCACGACAUGAAGAUUUAGAAGAUUGAAGCCUGGAUCUGAAGGAGGAGCUGCCUCAACCCCCACACGCGCCACUGUCUCGUGAAAGUGAGUCUGAAAAGAGAAAAAAUUGAACCCACUCAAAACCCAGAAAAGCCGCCUCUGAUCCGCGCCACUUUCCAACCUCGUAGUCACACCAGAGAGUCAAACAACCAUCAAGUCCGGCUGUGAAUCUGUCAUCAAGGGAGCUCUUUCUCGAGAGUAACCCACAUAUCAUCGGGAGAGGAGAGAGUAGACAAAGGAGCAAAGGGGAGGAGAAAGCCAUCCGGCGGCGGCAAAACAGCCAUGCAGCGGAGGCAAGCUCGGGUUCAACGAGAGGAAAAUAGUGAGAGAAACGAGUAGAGAGAGAAAGCCUCAUAAGUUAUCUAUUUCAAGC
rnacentral:lncRNA from 1 species